UGAGCAAUCUGCCCUUCACAUCGGAAUAACCAUUGGAAACGAUGGCUAAUACCGAAUAUGACUUCGGAUCGCAUGAUCUGAAGUGGAAAGCUCCGGCGGUGAAGGAUGAGCUCGCGGCCUAUCAGCUUGUUGGUGAGGUAAUAGCUCACCAAGGCGAUGGACGGGUAGCCGGCCUGAGAGGGUGACCGGCCACACGUGGGACUGAGACACCGGCACGA
rnacentral:rRNA from 1 species